rnacentral:rRNA from 1 species
CAGUCGCCGCGGUAAUACGUAGGGUGCGAGCGUUAAUCGGAAUUACUGGGCGUAAAGCGUGCGCAGGCGGUUUUGUAAGACAGGCGUGAAAUCCCCGGGCUCAACCUGGGAAUGGCGCUUGUGACUGCAAAGCUAGAGUGCGGCAGAGGGGGAUGGAAUUCCGCGUGUAGCAGUGAAAUGCGUAGAUAUGCGGAGGAACGCCGAUGGCGAAGGCAAUCCCCUGGGCCUGCACUGACGCUCAUGCACGAAAGCGUGGGGAGCAAACAGGAUUAGAUACCCGAGUAGUCCCUGUCUCUUAUAA